CCAAACGCUUUUGUAAAACGCAAAUGACGCUAAUCAAUCACUCUCACGACUCCGCUGUGCCGGAGUUCACCGCCGGCGGCGCCGGAGUUCUGGCUCACCUUGCAAUCCUAAUUUCGAAUCCUCAAACACAACCGUCUAAUUCCCGAACAAACACAAAUCAAAUAGUGAAUCUCUCAUGAACAAAAAUCAGGAUCUAACCCUCAUACGGAGGAAGCCAAAAACCUAAAAACUGACUCGACGGUAACGGAAUGCGGCGAACCGAAGAUUACCUAUUCUCAACGGAGAUGAUGCGGAAUCAAAGAGAAAGACGAACGCGAGCUUGCGCGUGAGGCUCCCUUUGAAUCUCCUUCUCCUCUUCUAUCUACUCUUGUGCGUAUGGUUGUUUGGAGUUGUGAGUUACAAAAUAAUCAGUUAUUGGUUGGAGGCGAUUGCGGCUCAACGAAGAAGAUGAUGAUGAGGAAUAACGAGGAAUGAGAAUUCGCUCACGGUGGUAACGCCUAGUCAAUCAAAGAGUGAAGAUCGAAUCUGAUCGGAAACACGCCGUCGACGAGGAGUGAAGAUCAACGUUGAUUAGGAACGUCUCCAGGUUAUUGCAGGUGGAGGAGACGAAUGGAGAAGUGAGGUUGAAGAAGCUUGAGCCUUUGUGUCUCUGUUGUAGGUUUUGCAGAAGAAAACUCAAUUUCCAUUUUUCUGUUGAAAUUGUGAAGAAUGCCCCCCGAAGCUCAAAGUUGCCCCCAAAAUUUAUAAGCACCCAAUCCAUUAAAUCCAUUUGAGUUUUGUUAGCUUCAAUCUAUGCAAAGUUGUUAGAGGUUUGAUAACACUGUGAACUAAUUCAGAUAGAGUUAUUAUUAUGCAAGAACUUUUUCUGUUUGAAUUUUUCGCUUCAGUUUAUUCUAUAAUGCGUUUUGAUUGUAAUUGUUGGAUAUUCAUGCCGUUUUCACUUCA